GUGCUCACUUCAGCAGCACACACACAUAUACUAAAACUGGAAUGAUACAGAGAAGAUUAGCAUGGUCCCUGCUCAAGGAUGACACACAAAUUCUUUUUUUUUUUUUUUU